rnacentral:rRNA from 1 species
UGUAAGCGUAUACCAAAGUUGUUGCAGUUAAAACGCUCGUAGUCGGAAUUUGGCAGUUCCGGAUGUGUGCACGUCGUGUGCGCACUUCGCGGGGAUUGCUUUUGUGGUCUUGCGUAGGAUGAGGCACUUUUAUUAGUGAACGUCCUCACGCAACCACUUUUAACUGUGAGAAAAUCAGAGUGCUCAAAGCAGGCAUUUGCCGUGAAUGUAUUAGCAUGGAAUAAUAGAAUAGGACUUGGUUCUAUUUUGUUGGUUUGUUGGGACUGAGUAAUGAUUAAGAGGGACAGUUGGGGGCAUUUGUAUUUCGGUGCUAGAGGUGAAAUUCUUAGAUUACCGAAAGACAAACUGCUGCGAAAGCGUCUGCCAAGGAUGUUUUCAUUGA